rnacentral:rRNA from 1 species
CCUACGGGAGGCAGCAGUGGGGAAUAUUGCACAAUGGGGGAAACGCUGAUGCAGCGACGCCGCGUGAGUGAAGAAGUAAUUCGGUAUGUAAAGCUCUAUCAGCAGGGAAGAAAAUGACGGUACCUGAGUAAGACGCCACGGCUAACUACGUGCCAGCAGCCGCGGUAAUACGGAGGGGGCAAGCGUUAUCCGGAUUUACUGGGUGUAAAGGGAGCGUAGACGGCAGUGCAAGUCUGGAGUGAAAGGCGGGGGCUCAACCCCCGGACUGCUCUGGAAACUGUACGGCUGGAGUGCAGGAGAGGUAAGUGGAAUGCCUGGUGUAGCGGUGAAAUGCGUAGAUAUUAGGAGGAACACCAGUUGCGAAGGCGGCUUACUGGACUGUAACUGACGUUGAGGCUCGAAAGCGUGGGGAGCAAACAGGAUUAGAUACCCGUGUAGUC